GUCACAGAGUCGACGCGCCUCCGGACUGUGGCUGCGAUGUGGCCGCGGGGAGGAGAGCGGGUCCUGCCGGACCCUUGGCCUGGUGCCCUGAGGCCCUUACUCUCGGAGGGUCCCUCUGCAGCUGCCAUAUUCCAGUAGAGCGUAAAGGCCAGGGGCUGAGCCCCGGGGCAUCGCGUAUGGGCGGCGGGGGGCACUAGGGCUUCCCACUCCCUCCUGCAGGGGUGCUCCUGAACCUGCGGGUGCCGCCCAACACUGUGACAUCACAGGGUCUCCUUCCUGGGUUACUAACGUCCAGAUGCCCAAAGGGGAGAGGCCUCCCCUCCCCCUGCCCCCUGCCACAGGCAGCAGGAUCUUCCGCUGGGUGACUUUUGAUCACCUUCUCCUGGGAGCAGGGCACAAGAACCCAGAAGUCACCCAAAGCCCUAGCUGCUACAUCCCAGAGAUGAGACAGAGCAUGGCUCUGCAGUGUGAGCCCGUCUCUGGUCACUUGUACCGCCUGUCGUACCGACAGAGCCUGGAAAGCGGAGCGGAGUUACUGAUUUCCAUCUGUAACAAGCUUCCUUCAGAGAAGACAGGCUUUGUGAAGAACUGAUUCUCAGCUGAGA